rnacentral:rRNA from 1 species
CUUCUUGCUUUGAUAUGAAGUCGUGCCUGCCCACUGAGAAGUUGAAUGGCCGCGGUAUAUUGACCGUGCAAAGGUAGCAUAAUCAUUAGUCUCUUAAUUGGAGGCUGGAAUGAAUGGUUUGACGAAACAAUGACUGUCUCGGGAUGAUAUAUUGAAUUUUACUUUUGAGUUAAAAGGCUCAAAUGAAAGUAGGGGACGAGAAGACCCUAUAGAUCUUGAUAAAAUUACAUUGAAAUUUGUGUUUAGUGGUUUUUAAUAGGUAUUUAAUGUAUUGUAUUUGGUUGGGGUGACAAGAGAAUAAUAUAACUUCUUUGUAUUUAACUAUGAUGGUUGGUUAAUUGAUCCUAUAUUAUGGAAUGAAGAUGAAGAUACCUUAGGGAUAACAGCGUAAUGUUAUUGGAGAGUUCAUAUUGAUAAUAAAGAUUGCGACCUCGAUGUUGGAUUAAGAAAAUUGUUAAGUGCAGGAGCUUAAUGUAUUGGUCUGUUC